CGUGAUAAGCUGCGAAAAGUUGCGGGGAUUGGCACAUACAAAUUGAUCCGCAAAUAUCCGAAUGGGGCAACCCAGCAUGUUGAAGACAUGUUACACCGUAAGGUGAGCAAACCCGGAGAACUGAAACAUCUAAGUACCCGGAGGAGAAGAAAACAAUAGUGAUUCCGUAAGUAGCGGCGAGCGAACGCGGAGUAGCCCAAACCAGUCUUGUUACGGCAAGGCUGGGGUUGUAGGACCACGUUAUUGGUUGUGUAAUGAAUUAGAAUCCGUUGGAAAUCGGAACCAUAGAGGGUGAUAGUCCCGUAUAAGUAAAGAACAUUAACCAUAGUGGUAUCCUGAGUAGUGCGGGACACGUGUAAUCCUGUAUGAAUUUGCCGGGACCAUCCGGUAAGGCUAAAUACUCCUGAGAGACCGAUAGUGAACUAGUACCGUGAGGGAAAGGUGAAAAGAACCGUGAAUAACGGAGUGAAAUAGAUCCUGAAACCAUACGCUUACAAGCGGUCGGAGCCCUUUGGGGUGACGGCGUGCCUUUUGCAUAAUGAGCCUACGAGUUACCGUUUCUAGCAAGGUUAAGCACUUCAGGUGCGGAUCCGUAGCGAAAGCGAGUCUGAAUAGGGCGUAUAGUUAGUGGCGGUAGACGCGAAACCGUGUGAUCUACCCAUGGGCAGGUUGAAGCUGUAGUAACAUAUAGUGGAGGACCGAACCCGUUGACGUUGAAAAGUCUUGGGAUGACCUGUGGGUAGGGGUGAAAGGCCAAUCAAACUCGGAAAUAGCUCGUACUCCCCGAAAUGCAUUUAGGUGCAGCGUUGUAAAAGUUUUAUAGAGGUAGAGCUACUGAUUGGAUGCGGGGGCUUCACCGCCUACCAAUUCCUGACAAACUCCGAAUGCUAUAAAAUGUUUCUCAGCAGUGAGGGCAUGGGUGCUAAGGUCCAUGUCCGAGAGGGAAAGAACCCAGACCAUCAGCUAAGGUCCCAAAGUGUAUGCUAAGUUGAAUAAACGAGGUUUGACUGCCCAGACAGCUAGGAUGUUGGCUUGGAAGCAGCCAUUCAUUUAAAGAGUGCGUAACAGCUCACUAGUCGAGCGAUCCGGCAUGGAUAAUAAUCGGGCAUAAACAUACUACCGAAGCUAUGGACUUGUAAAAGUGGUAGGGGAGCAUUGUAGUGUCGUCGAAGGUGAAGCGUGAGCUUUGCUGGAGAAGCUACAAAAGAAAAUGUAGGCAUAAGUAACGAUAAUGCGGGCGAGAAACCCGCACACCGAAAGACUAAGGUUUCCUCAGCUAUGCUAAUCAGCUGAGGGUUAGUCGGGACCUAAGGCGAACCCGAAAGGGGUAGUCGAUGGACAACAGGUUAAUAUUCCUGUACCUGCUCACGUUAAAAGUGACGGAGGCGAAUAGUUAGUGCGCACAGACGGAAUUGUGCGUUGAAGAGAGUGGUAACACCUCGAUAGUACACUAAGGCUACGGCUGCGGUGAUAAUCUAGCGAAUCGACUUCCAAGAAAAGCGAGUGAAGCAGCCCGUACCCUAAACCGACACAGGUAGUUGGGAUGAGAAUUCUAAGGUGCUCGAGAGAUUCAUGGCUAAGGAACUAGGCAAAAUCGACCCGUAACUUCGGGAGAAGGGUCGCCCAUCUUCGGAUGGGCCGCAGUGAAAAGGUCCAGGCGACUGUUUAUCAAAAACACAGGGCUAUGCUAAAUCGAAAGAUGAUGUAUAUGGCCUGACACCUGCCCGGUGCCGGAAGGUUAAGAGGAGAUGUUAGCUUCGGCGAAGCAUUGAAUUGAAGCCCCGGUAAACGGCGGCCGUAACUAUAACGGUCCUAAGGUAGCGAAAUUCCUUGUCGGGUAAGUUCCGACCUGCACGAAUGGUGCAACGAUCUGGAUACUGUCUCAGCCAUGAGCUCGGUGAAAUUGUAGUAACGGUGAAGAUGCCGUUUACCCGCUGUGGGACGAAAAGACCCCGUGAACCUUUACUAUAGCUUAGUAUUGACUUUGGAUAAGUAAUGUGUAGGAUAGGUGGGAGACAUCGAUCCAGCGUCGCCAGGCGUUGGUGAGUCAUUGUUGAAAUACCACCCUUUACUUGUCUGAAGCCUAAUCCCUAACGGGAGACAGUGCUUGGUGGGUAGUUUGACUGGGGUGGUCGCCUCCAAAAGAGUAACGGAGGCUUCU
rnacentral:rRNA from 1 species